GAUGAACGCUAGCUACAGGCUUAACACAUGCAAGUCGAGGGGAAACGACAUCGAAAGCUUGCUUUUGAUGGGCGUCGACCGGCGCACGGGUGAGUAACGCGUAUCCAACCUGCCCACCACUUGGGGAUAACCUUGCGAAAGUAAGACUAAUACCCCAUGAUAUCUCUAGAAGACAUCUGAAGGAGAUUAAAGAUUUAUCGGUGAUGGAUGGGGAUGCGUCUGAUUAGCUUGUUGGCGGGGUAACGGCCCACCAAGGCGACGAUCAGUAGGGGUUCUGAGAGGAAGGUCCCCCACAUUGGAACUGAGACACGGUCCAAACUCCUACGGGAGGCAGCAGUGAGGAAUAUUGGUCAAUGGGCGAGAGCUUGAACCAGCCAAGUAGCGUGCAGGAUGACGGCCCUAUGGGUUGUAAACUGCUUUUAUAAGGGAAUAAAGUGAGCCUCGUGAGGCUUUUUGCAUGUACCUUAUGAAUAAGGACCGGCUGAUUCCGUGCCAGCAGCCGCAGUAA
rnacentral:rRNA from 1 species